CAAAAGGAGGUCCAACACUUAAGCUUUGGCCCGGAAGGAAAUUCAAAACUAAACUAAGAAUAUUCUAGAAUACCAUAAUUAUACCCCUAUUCUGCCCAAUCAAAAAACUGAUACACAUCUUGUUUGCUAGGCUGGCAUUUCUUCUUCAAGACGGUUUCACAAUUCCAAGGGGAGCAUUUAACACUUUGUCUGUUGAUCUGCCCAUUUCACAGCUUCCCUUUCUUUCUCUUUUUCUCUAUCCAUUUUCAAUCCGGUUAUCGUACACUGCCAUUUACUCUCUGAAAUUCGGCAUAUUUAGGAACACUAUCCACCAGGUAUAUCUCCUCCCUUUUCUUUAUUGAUUCUCUAGCUAGUAUAUGUGUUAAACUAUUUGCUGCUCUUGGGAUAUAUUCAAACGUUAAGUUUCUAGAUCUAGACAUUAUUUGCUGGAUAUCAUGUAUAUAUGCUCUGAUAUGUGAUUUGUCCUCUCUGUUUUCCUUGCAUUUCUUGAUGAUUGAUAAUGAAUCACCUUCAAUAAUGAUCUUGGACCAUUUCAUCUCUAUCUCGAUUUGGACUGCUCUACGACAAGCGAGUGCCUCCGCAGCAAAAGCUGAGCCUAUCUGGUGAUGAAUCUCUGAGCAAGAUAUUAGGGCCUUUCCUUCAGUGUUUCUAACCACUAUCCCCGAAGCCACUUGACUAGAUCUUUCAUCAUAUGCUACGUCAAAAUUAAUCUUCACUGUCUGAUUAGAUUGUCCAUAACGCGCAACAAAAUAAUCUGCAUAGGGAAAUGUUAUUCUGAGCAAACACCUAGGUUAGCCAUUGUAGAAAUUCCAUAUUAGAUUCCUGUAGAAGCUUCUGGAAUGAUAAUUCUGUCCAUACUGUCACUGAUACAGGGCAUUCCCGGAAGAGAUCGUCCAUCGUUUCCACUACUGAUUCACACCGCUGAGUUGGUUUUUGAAACUGAGGAUAAUGUUAGAUUGAUUUAGGAUCGUCUUAAGGCGGCCUUAGAUAGACAAAAGUCAUAUCUAGAUCUGAAAAGGAGGGACAUUGAGUUUUCUGUGGGUGACUAUAUUUUCCUUAAGGUAUCUCUGUGGAAAAAGGUCUUUCGGUUUGGACGUGAGGGCAAGUUGAGCCCUAGGUUCAUUAGUUCGUAUCAGAUUUUGAAGCAUUUUUAUUAUUUUGAUUUGGUUCCUUCAUUCCCUCAAUUUCGCCGUCAUCUUUCUACCCUGCUAUUGAUUUCAAUUUGGCUUUUGCCUUACUUUUCUUCUGUUGUUCCUACUAUUUAGUUUUUCCAUCAUCGUUGGGUUGCCAUUUAAUUUUUAUUAUUAAUUUUGAUUUUAUUCCCUUACUGCUAUUUUGCUUUUCACUCUCUUGCUGGUCAUUCGUUAAGUAAUUUGGUGUUCUAUCUUUAAUAGGUUUGAGUUUUGUAUGUGGCAUUAAAAUUGCAAUGUACAAUUGGCUUUUAGAAUUGAUUAUAAUUGUGUGCUUUUCUUUUGUGGGUGGUAAGUGGAGAGUCGUGAGACGAUUGGUGUUCUUCCGACAAAUUAAUUUUCAUCGUUUUGUUGUUCAUUAAAUGGUAAGGAUUGGCGUGUAUAUUUUUUAGAUGGUUUAGAUUGGGUUGUUGGUUUUGCUAUUUUAGGAUAGUCGAGGACUUGGUUCUUCAAAUUGUUGGUUUUCAUUACCGAUUUAGUGUUCUGAUCAGUGCAUUCAGGUUCUAGUAGGCUCUUGGGGGUGUUCACAUCAAAAUCGAAUCAGGUGUGUUUCAAGAAACACGAAAAAUAGUAAUCUGUGAAAGUCGAAAAAUUAAUCUGUCGAUGUCACACGGUCGUGUGGUAGGUCUUGUGUGACACACGGCCGUGAGAUAGACCGUGUGUGAGACACGAAUUGGGCUAUUUGGGCCGUGUGGACAAUAAAGGCAUAUAGGUCUCACGGGUGUGUGUGAGGCCAUGUGCCACACGGGCGUGUAGGCCCAAAAUUCUGAAAUUUUUCCUAGAUCUGUACAUGUCAUUCCGAUAGACUGUGGGCCUUCUGUGGGGUCGGUUUGUACUUAAAGUAGACUUCAAAAUGUGAAAUCCAAUCACCUGUUUGCACGAAUUUUGAUAUUUGUUCUUCAUCUGAAAUGUCAUAUGCUGAGUUAAUUGUGUAAUAGGCUAUAGGAAAACAGAAAAAUACCAUAUAUGCUCUAUAUUAGUUAUUUUAUACGUAGAUACUAUGAAUAUGUCUGAUUACCGUACGUUCUGUAUUUGCAUCUGGGAUGGGUUAUAUAUUUUUUAGAGGAAGUGUUACUGAAAAAGGCAAUAAUUCGCCCAUCAUCUGGCAGCUCCGUUGCAUAUUUUCUAGAAAGUGUCUUAUUGACACUAAGCGGUAUGUAAGGCUAGGUGGGUGUUUUAUACCCCAUAUGGUGUGUUGGGAUGGUCGGAGCUGGUAUGUAGAGGAUGGGGGUAGGAUUAUAUAUAUUUGUAUCUGUACUACUCUGAUAUUAAUUUGUUUUUGAUAAAUCUAUUUGAUGCACAUUAAUUGUUUUAA